GCCUUCGUGGUGUAGCGGUCAGCACGUUCGGUGUUUUUUUUAGAUGUCCGUGGUUCGAGUCCCGGCGAGGGUA
rnacentral:tRNA from 1 species